AUGGCGCGACGUCGUCUCCCACCCCGACCACCGCAAGAAACUGCCCCGGUCGACCCUCGCCGGCUUCUUCUACGAAACCGGCAAUCUGUGUGCCCGAGUUAUGGACCGUCAUUACCAAAGCCUAACAGGGAGCUGGUGCCCUGGCAUCGACCCCUCCUUCUCGUUCCUGCCCAACACAGACUCUGUGACAUUCACAUUGACAUGCUGGACUGCUGCAAUGGCCUCCUGCUCUGCCGACGACAGAAGACCGAUUACUGGAGGGCAACGGAUUACGUGGUGUGCAAUCCGGCCACUGAGAAAUGGGUUGCCGUGCCUGGCACCGACAGGUCCAGCGAGGUGCGGGUCGCUCGCCUGGGGUACGACCCGGCCGUCUCCUCUCACUUCCAUGUACUUGAGUUUGCACCGGCGGAUGAUGAUACACACGUCAGACCAUUAGGGAUCUACUCUUCCGAAGCUGGAGCCUGGACACAUCGGAGCGAUUGGGAAUGUCCAAUUGAUAUAAACAGGUAUUCAUGUAGCACAUUUUUCGUAUUUAACUUCCUAUGA
rnacentral:rRNA from 1 species